rnacentral:rRNA from 1 species
GAUAAAUUUGGUUCUGGUUUUUUAAAUUAGAUGAUAUUGAGGUUUAUACAUGCGAGCUAAUAGCAAUACGGUGAGGGUAGCGAUAAUUUAUUAUGUAUUUUAAAAUAAUAAUUUAUUAAAGCAAUAAAGAUUACUAUGAAAAUUAUAAAGGAAAAGAAGCAUAAAUACACAUCUGCAGUAAUAGAUAAUUAAUAAUAACUGAAGGGUUGAUUAUACCAAGGAUAAAAUAAGACUGGCAAAGAUAUCGUGCCAGCAGUCGCGGUUAAACGAAUGGUUUUUUUAAUUAAGGAAGUGGCUUAAUAUGGGUUAGUAUAAGUAAAUUUAUGAAUAGUCUUAAUUAUUCAAGGUGAAAUUUGUGAUUGAGCCGGCUAAUAAAUUUAACAGAGACCAUGGAACUAAAAGGGGAGACCCGGAUUAGAUACCCGGUUAUUUUUUAGUAUAAAAAAUUAAUGCCUGUGGAGUAUGGAGGAAGCUUUGAGAAACAAAGAACUUGGCGGUUAUUUAUUUCUGAUUAGGGGAGCUUGCUUGAAGAGAGCGAUAAUCCACGAAAUACCUUACCUGUUUUGGAACUAUCAGCUUCUAUAUCGUCGUCAUUAAGUUUUCAUUUUAAAAUUGAAAACGAAUAAGUUAUUGACAAGAUGUCAGAUCCAUAUGGAGCUAAUAAAUAGGGGAGAGUGAGCUACAGUAACUUAUUAGUUAGUUAUAGUAUUGAAAUGUUUAUGAAAAAAAUAUAGAAAUAGGACUUAAUAGUAAUUAAUAGAAGGAGUUAUAAAUAAUGAAAUUAGCCCUAAAUUUCGUACACAUCGCCCGUCACCUGCGGGGUAAAACUUGGAGUAAGUCGUAACAAAGUAGGCGUACCUGAAGGUGCGGCCUAGAAUAUUUAAUU